rnacentral:rRNA from 1 species
AGUAAUGCAUAGGAAUUUGCCUUGGAGUGGGGGAUAGCCCGGAGAAAUUCGGAUUAAUACCGCAUGCGCUCUACGGAGCAAAGCGGGCCUCUGAUUUAAGCUCGCGCUUUGAGAUAAGCCUAUGUCGGAUUAGCUAGUUGGUAGGGUAAAGGCCUACCAAGGCGACGAUCCGUAGCUGGUUUGAGAGGAUGAUCAGCCACACUGGGACUGAGACACGGCCCAG